rnacentral:rRNA from 1 species
GUGGGGAAUAUUGCACAAUGGGGGGAACCCUGAUGCAGCGACGCCGCGUGAAGGAAGAAGGUAUUCGUAUUGUAAACUUCUGUCGCAGAUGACGAAAAGAUGACGGUAAUCUGUAAGAAAGCACCGGCUAACUACGUGCCAGCAGCCGCGGUAAAACGUAGGGUGCUAGCGUUGUCCGGAAUUACUGGGUGUAAAGGGAGCGCAGGUGGCAGUGCAAGUUGGAUGUAAAAUCUACGGGCUCAACCCGUAUAAGCAUUCAAAACUGUGCAGCUUGAGUGAAGUAGAGGUAGGUGGAAUUUCCGGUGUAGCGGUGGAAUGCGUAGAUAUCGGAAGGAACAUCAGUGGCGAAGGCGACCUACUGGGCUUUAACUGACGCUGAGGCUCGAAAGCAUGGGUAGCAAACAGGAUUAGAAACCCUAGUAGUCC